ACACGACUACAUUAGAUACCCCGGUAGUCCCAGCCCUAAACGAUGCGCGUUAGGUGUAUCGGUGACCACGAGUCACCGAGGUGCCGAAGGGAAACCGUGAAACGUGCCGCCUGGGAAGUACGGUCGCAAGGCUGAAACUUAAAGGAGUUGGCGGGGGAGCACCACAACGGGUGGAGCCUGCGGUUUAAUUGGACUCAACGCCGGGAAGCUCACCGGAUAAGACAGCGGAAUGAUUGCCGGGCUGAAGACCCUGCAUGACCAGCUG
rnacentral:rRNA from 1 species